rnacentral:rRNA from 1 species
GACGUAGGGGGCGAGCGUUGUCCGGAUUCAUUGGGCGUAAAGCGCGCGCAGGCGGCCCGGUAAGUCGGAUGUGAAAUCCCACGGCUCACCCGUGGAACUGCCCGGCAUACUGCGAUGCUAGAGUGUGGUAGGGGAGAGCGGAACUCCUGGUGGAGCGGUGAAAUGCGUAGAUAUCAGGAGGAACACCGGUGGCGAAGGCGGCUCUCUGGUCCACAACUGACGCUGAGGUGCGAAAGCUAGGGGAGCAAACGGG